GACAAUUGAAAAACGUAGCAUAGAUAAGUAUAGAAGAAAGAAGAAAACACUAAAGAAUGAGAAUAAAAUAAACAAGGUUAAAACAUAAUGGUCGGCUAGUCUUAAUAUGGUCAAAUUAAAAUGGUAAUGACAAAUCAACCUUUUAAUGCUAAUUACAGUAUGAUUAGGCUGACAAAAAGGUAAAAACUCAUCAUAACUAUUAUAUAUAAAGAUUUGAGGUAUGACUUUAACAUAACAUACACAUUAUAUGCAAAUGACUCUUCAUAUAGCAAUCGAUG
rnacentral:lncRNA from 1 species